UCUUGAUACAUGGUCAAAUGUAGGCCCUCAAAAGAUUGGUCUCUCCAACAGCUCCAAAAUUCCCCUACAUAGCUCAAUCCAUAUUUAGAAACAACUAAAGAUAACACAAAGAAAAUGUGCAAACAUCUUGAACCUAUUAAAGCCAUUUUUAUUGGCUGCUCCGCCCCCCCCCCAGCAUGAAUACGAUUCAAUGUACUAAAGUACCAUCUAGUGGUCACAGGUGGCAUUUUCUCAAAACUGAGACUACUUAGCUUUCAAUGUGAUUUAGGAUUAAAGCUCUAGUUCAGAAUUCCGUGCACAUGUGACAGAUUGCACUGAUACAACAUUAGUCUUGUUUUCAUGUUGCUUAGCACCAUUCUGGUGCUGUGAAACCAUAAUUUGCUUAUUUAAAAUAAUAAAUAGCAUUGUGCUAAAUUUUAAUACUUCUGUUGGGAAACUCCACAAGAAAUUCUAAUCACAUCUGCCAACAGAAACACAAGUAUAUUGGCAUGCCUGUUUGAAGUAGAAUAGUUGUUCCUCCUUUCAAAUGACAUUCUUCUCCCCCAUGAAAAGAGAAAGUAUGCAUAAAUGUGUGUGCUUGAGGGCUUUUUGGCAACCUUUACAUGAGUAAAAACCCAGACUCUUAUGGAACUUUUAAAGACUAGCCAGUUGUAUUUGGCAUGGAUUUUUGUGGACUGCAGCCCAAUUUUAUCAUGAUGCACAAACACACACACACACUGAACAAUACACCUUUAAUGUUUUAAUCACAUCCUUCUCUUUCAGUAGGGGCAAAGGACUUACAAUUGUAAGAGGAAGAAGAGCAAAUACAUCAUUUGAAAGAGCUACCCAGUUGAAUACAAAACAGCACUCCUGUUUCUUUAAUAUUCAGAAGAUCCUUGCUUACCACAACAUUUCCUCUGGAGGAACCUUUCUCUCUUCACUUCCUCCAAAUCUGUAUUUUAACCAAUGCCGUACUCCCCUUGCAAAAAACACAUCUGGUGAAAAGUGGGUAAGGGCAGCAGAGAUGAAUUAUUCAUCUCUGUUUUUGUAUGUCAAUACUCCCAAUGACAUUAUCCUUGAAGAUCUAGGAAGUUACAGAAGAUGCCUGUUUCUUUGUGUCCAUUUACAGAAAUGGAGUGGGUCACUUUCCUUCCAUUCUUCCCCUUCCCUGGGUGACUUUCCACAAGCAAGUAAAGAGUUGAACAGAGGAAGUUGCAUCAGCUGAAAUGUUUCUGUUCGGCAGGGAGGAAGGUGUGUGAUAAAAGAGAAGAGGUGCCAUAGUUCCUCCUGAAAAAAUUUCCUGCAUGGCAGGGGUUUGGACUAAAUGGCCCAUGCAGUCUCUUCCAAAUCUAUGAUUCUAUGUCUUUCUUUCCUAAGAAUCUGCUAAAUGCUAAAACAAUUGAACCUUUGCCAUAUUCAGCCUGGGAACCUUAUGACUCUAUUGAGAGUAAAAACUCUAAAGCCUACAUUGUUCCUGGAAAAACUCAAAAACCUACCUAGCAAGCCAACUUUUACUGCUCUCCUAGUCUUUGUAGCUACCCUUGAGCUCCUUCAUUGACAGAAUGAAGUGAGGAUGUCAUAUCCUAAAUAACCUUGGAUUUUUAUUUUUCAAAAAAAAAGAGAAAAAAGCAAGGGUUCAAUUCUAAUCAGUAUGCAUAGCAAUAUAAAUAAACAGUGGCAUUUAUGUCAUCAUUGCACAUAUAAAAGCACAAUUGUUAGAAACUUUUAUUAUUGUUAGAAACUGAGAUAAUGUCUUCUGCAAACUUUAGAACACAAAAUGUUUCCAGCUGCAAUGACAAUAUAUCUCUAUAUAUUUCCCUAGCUGUGCCCGGCCGCACGUUGCUGUGGCAAGGUAUGGUGGCAUGGGAAAUAAAGUAUUGAGGAAUUGGUGGUAGUUAAGGUAAAGGGUAAAGGUUUUCCCCUGACAUUAAGUCCAGUCGUGUCUGACUCUGGGUGUUGGUGCUUAUAUCCAUUUCUAAGCCGAAGACCUGGUGUUGUCCAUAGACUCCUCCAAGGUCAUGUGGCAUGACUGCAUGGAGCACCGUUACCUUCCCGCCGGAACAGUACCUAUUGAUUUACUCACAUUUGCAUGUUUUCGAAGUUCUGGGUUGGCAGAAGCUGGAGCUAACAGUGGGGGCUCUCUCCGCUCCCCCAAUUCGAACCUGCAACCUUUAGGUCCACAAGUUCAGCAGCUCAGCGCUUUAACACACUGCGCCAUCAGGGGAUAUUAUUUCCUAAAGCUUAUGAAUAUACAAUAUUUCUGAUUGUUCUUUCUUUUUUUUGUUGGAGGAAAGUAUGAAUGCUGCAAUUAGGCAAAAUAAUUAGCAUGUAAUGGCCUUGCAGCUUUAAAGUCUGGUUGCUUCCUCUCUGAGGGAUUUUUUUUUUGUUGGGAGGUGUCAGCUGGCCCUGAUUGUUUCCUGUCUGGAAUUCACUUGUUUUCAGAGUAGUGUUCUUUGCGAUAUUUUAUGUGCUUCUACUGUCUGUGUAGAUGAAGAAGUACCCAUAUGCAGUGCUUGAGUGCAUACAGUAAAAAAAAAAAAAGGCUGUGGCUCUCAGAAAACAGAGGAUUUGCAGACUUUGGUGAUGGAAAUACUGUGUUUGGAGGUGUUAUCUGGCUCUGAUUGUUUCCUGUGUGGAAUUCCCCUGUGUGGAAUUUUCAGAGUGUUGUUCUUUAUUUAGUGUUCUGAUUUUAGAGAUUGCGUUGUUCUGUUUUAUUAUACCACAGUAAUUGUUAUAUAUUUUUAUUUUAGUGUUUUUGAAUAUUUGGAGCGAGAUUGUGUUCAUUUUCACACUUCACAGCAACACAACAACAACAACAACUAUAAUAGUAAUGAUAGUAAUAAUAAUGACUUCGGUAAUACACACUGCUUCACUCCCUACUCAGCUUCGUUUCUGGAAGAAUCCUGUCUUGGGAGGUGUUAGCUGGCCGUGAUUGUUUCCUUUCUGGAAUUCCCAAUUUCCCUGCUUUCUGAGUAUUGCUCUUUAUUUACUGUCCUGGUUUUAGAGAUUAUAUUGUUCUUUAUUAUUCUACUACAGUAAUUAUUUCAUAUUACAGUAGAAUCUCACUUAUCCAACAUUUGCUUAUCCAAUGUUCUGGAUUAUCCAACGCAGUCUGCCUUUUAGUAGUCAAUGUUUUAAAUUCAUUGUGAUAUUUUGGUGUUAAAUUUGUAAAUACAGUAAUUACUACGUAGCAUUAUUGCACAUUGAGCUACUUUUUCUGUCAGAUUUGUUGUAUAACAUGAUGUUUUGGUGCUUAAUUUGUAAAAUCAUUACCUAAUUUGAUAUUUAACAGGCUUUUCCUGAAUCCCCUCUUAUUAUCCAACAUAUUCACUUAUCCAAUGUUCUGCCAGCCUGUUUAUGUUGGAUAAGUGAGACUCUACUGUAUAUUUAUAAUCUUAUAUUAACUGCUUAGAAUAUGAGGCCCCUUCUACACAGCUGUAUAAAAUGCACACUGAAGUGGAUUAUAUGGCAGUGUGGAGUCAAGAUAAUCCAGUUCAAAGCAGAUAAUGUAAGAUUAUAAAUGGGUUAUAUAGCUGUGUGGAAAGGCCUUGAGUCUACACUGCCAUAUAAUCCAGUUUAAAUCAGAUAAUCUGUAUUUUAUAGGCAGUGUGGAAGAGGCCUAAGUGAGGCCUAACUCUGCCUGUGCCCUGGGCUGGGUGGGUAGCUAGGAGACCAAGUGGGUGGAGCUUAGCCUUCUAACUGGCAGCAAUUGGGUAAAAACAAUUAUUCCUCUCCCUUUAAUUAGGACUUUAUUUUUCUUUUCUUUUUGUUGUCAGAACCUAGGAACAAGGCCACUGGAUUGUGCUGCCAAGUUUCAUGGUUCUGGGAUGUGUAGUUUUGUUGCUACCUUCACGGCGGCCAGUUUUUUACUCUUUUAUAUAUAUAGAUUACUUAGCAAACCUCAUUUAUGUGACAGAAAAUUACUUUGGAGAAAAUAUUUUUGAGAAGAUUUCAAACAACAUAGAAGCUCCAAUCAAACCUCUAUGGCACAAAAACUAAUUUUGCUGCUUCAAACAUAUGUUUUUCCUAAAUGUUUUUUAACAAAUAAAGAGCUUGUUGCUAAACUGGAAUUUAAAACCAGCUGACAUAUAUCUUCAUUCCAAAUUAUUCGAUCUUAAUGGCUACUAAGAAAGCACUACUUGGAUAUUCAAUGAUGAAAAUUUUAUGGUCAGUCCUAGAACAUUAAAUUGAUUUAUUUUGGUCUAGGCUGAAAACAUCCCUCACAUGACUGAACUUUCUUGACAGUAUUAGGCAAUACUGCAGUGUGCUUUUAAAUUUAAGAGACUGUAUCUGCAGUCAGGAAACCAGUGAAGAUGUACACUAAUAAUGAAAUAAACCAAAUGUAGCUUGUCAAAUUGGUCCAAUCCGUACACAGAAUCUUGGGUGAGUUCAUUCCCAAAGCUCCACUACUAAGAUAUCAUGCAUUUAUUUCUGCAGAUAGACCUUCAUUUCAGAUUUUUAAAUUAUCAUUCUUAUUAUGAUUGCUAUUUAUAUCUUUCUAAUCUCUAAAAAGAGAAUACAAGUGGCUUAUAGUAAAACCAAUAAAAUACAAUUUUAAAUCUAAAAAUAUACAAAUAUUAAAAUAGAAUUAAAUAUUAAUGGUAUUAAAAAUACAUAGUUAAAACUCUUAACCAAUUGAAAAGUUAAUCAUAGCUAAAGCCACAGCACCCCAUGACUUGUGUUAUGGUUGAGCCUUCUGGCUCCGAUACUAGGAGACGGGGUCGUAAGACUCCUCGUGAGUCAGACUCUUUUGAGGAGCGUGAAAGGAAACGGCUCCGGGACUUAUUUGCAGAACCAACAGAUGAGGACUCUUUUGAGGGUUUUACCGAGGGAAUGGAGGAAGAAAUGGUCAGCUCGGAGGAGGAUGACAUGGAGUGGACUCGUGUGAGGGAGGAUUUGGGUGUCACCGGCAAUGAAAGCAUGGGAGGCGAUUGGCGGGUUGCAGGAUCAGAUCCAUGGACGGGCUGGAGGGAUGGAGCGGGAUCCACAGCUGGGGAUGCUGUGGGGCGUAGUCAAAGGUGUUUUAGCUCUGAUGAGGAUGAUGAUGAUGAGGCACCUGGGAUUAGGAUGGCAGCUGACAGCGAUGAUGAGCUUGAACUGGGAUAAAAUGGGGUUUAGGAUCAAUGUCUAAUUGCGUUGGGCAAGGUAAUCUGGACGAACGCUUGGGCUCUUGUUGGGGAACUUCCUGAAGACGGGUGUGAUUCGUUGCUGGAUACCUUGGACCUCCGUCGUCUUUUUGACGGACAUUAAUUACCUACUCUGGAUUGACGCUGGACUGACUGACUUCGACCCCGGAUUAUCCCUUCUGUGGCUAUCGGUGGGACUUGUGGAAUUCUAGACGUCUGCACUUGGCUUUCGACCUUGGACCGGAUUGAGACCCUGCUGACUGCCGUUACCCUGAUUGAUGUGCCUGGACCCGGAUUUCGCUCGUUGCACGGAGGAGUAAACAGCCUGAUUUACUCAUCUGUAGCUUUUGAGUAGCAGAGAGGAAUCUGCUGCUAGUUUAUUGUGUUCAUUCUGACCUUUGUUAAUCCUCUUUUGUUUGCUAAAUUUGCAGGCUGAAGUAAGCACUUUUGAUUUGAUCCGGAUUAAACUCCUGUUUAAUCCGGUUUAUCCUUUUGAACCGUUUUAGUUCAAACGGAGCUGUUUUUGUUACUUUUCACACUGAAGUCAAGUGUUUGCCUAAUCCUUUGUUUCCUACGGGCAUUUUCAGUUUUGUAACCUCAAUAAACUGAGUUUUACUCUA